rnacentral:snoRNA from 1 species
GGUUGAUGAUGCUGAUUCUUAAGGCUGGUUCCUCAUAAAAUUUGCAGUGGUGUCCAAGAGCUGUCGUCUGCUGGGACCUGGGAGCUUAUGCUUUUUUUGUUCUUCCUUGGAUGUCUAAGACC